rnacentral:tRNA from 1 species
AGUCCUGUGGAGUAAUAGCUCAUUGAAUUGCAAAUUCAAGGGUGCAGAUUAGAGUCUGCCGGGGCUU